rnacentral:sRNA from 1 species
CCGUGCCAGGCUCAGGCAGACCCACUGGGACCCAGGCUGCUCCCUGCUCCUGGGGUCGUGAUGGGGCCCAGUGUGGAGUGGCAGCCGCCCUGUCUUCUGCGGGGCCAGCCUCCUCAAGGCACACCCGGGGGCUUCCCUGCCAGUCUCGCUACCCUGUUCCCUGUGUUCUGAUCGUCCCUGGGGCCUGAGGGUCUGGGGUUUAGGCGGUGCACACCCCUACCUAUAAUACCAUUAAGGCAAGGUCGCACCUGCUGCCUGCAGGGAGUAUACUUCCUGAGCCACGCCCACUCCACAGGGGCAGCACUCAGGCCUCUGUAGGCCCUGGGCAGGGGGAGGUGCACACCUGGCAAGCAGCCUCAGGUGGGGGUUCCUUUGCCUUUGAGCGUCUGAGGGCACCCGAGAACCUCAGCCGGCUACCCUGGCCCAGCCAGAAGCAGCUUGGUGGCUGGGCCAGACAUUUGUGGUGGCGGUGGGGGGCCUCCUCCAUUUGCUGGGCUCGAGUGGGCUUGUGCAUCUGCCCUCCCGACACAGGGUGACUGUCCUGAGAAGGACAUUCCAGAGCCAUGAGCCAAGUGUGCUCUGAGAUUCAAGUGGCUUUGGCAUUGCUCCCUGUUUGGGGUCGUGGCCCCUGUCCUGUGGGAAGAGGUGGGUGGUGUCAGGGCUGGUCCUCAGCAGCUGUGUCCCUGGCCAGGCUGGCUGGAUGGUUGGUUCGCUGUCUGACCAGCAGCCAGCCCUCCACCGGCAGCUCUGGGGGCCUGGACCUGGGGGCUGUUUAAUAGGCGUGCUGUGCUCACGGGCCCAUGUAUGGAUCCUGUUGUGCAGGGGCUGAGGGGCCUGGCCCGUGCCAGGUGGUCUCCCUGCUCUCUGGAAGCCCUGGGGUGCAGGACUAGCCUGGGCACACACCUUGCCGAGGGCUCCUGGGCUCCUCCUGAUUGUGUGGUGACCUCCCCGCUUCCAGCCCAGUCAGGAUGGGGCCUCGGGGGUGGGAGCCGCGUGGGGCUUCGUUCCUGGUGGUAUCCCGGAACCAUGAGGGCUGGAGCUUGGGCCUUCCUGCCCCUCCCCUGCUGGGCAGAGGCGACUCGUUCUGCCUGUGUCAUUCCCCGCAGAGACCCACCCCCGCCCCCCCAAGCCUGACCCCGUGAAAAGCGUGUCCAGCGUGCUCAGCAGCCUGACGCCCGCCAAGGUGGCCCCCGUCAUCAACAACGGCUCCCCCACCAUCCUGGGCAAGCGCAGCUACGAGCAGCACAACGGGGUGGACGGCAACAUGAAGAAGCGCCUCUUGAUGCCCAGUAGGGGUCUGGCAAACCACGGACAGACCAGGCACAUGGGACCAAGCCGGAACCUCCUGCUCAACGGGAAGUCCUACCCCACCAAAGUGCGCCUGAUCCGGGGGGGCUCCCUGCCCCCAGUCAAGCGGCGGCGGAUGAACUGGAUCGACGCCCCUGAUGACGUGUUCUACAUGGCUACAGAGGAGACCAGGUAGGGCCUUCCCAGGGCAGGCGGGAGGGCUCCGCACAGCGUCCCGGCCCUCACCACCACCUCUGCCCACAGGAAGAUCCGCAAGCUGCUUUCAUCCUCGGAAACCAAGCGUGCUGCCCGCCGGCCCUACAAGCCCAUCGCCCUGCGUCAGAGCCAGGCCCUGCCGCUGCGGCCACCGCCACCUGCGCCUGUCAACGACGAGCCCAUCGUCAUCGAGGACUAGGGGCCGCCCCCACCUGCGGCCGCCCCCCACCCCUCGCCCGCCCACACGGCCCCUUCCCAGCCAGCCCGCCGCCCGCCCCUCAGUUUGGUAGCGCCCCACCUCCCGCCCUCACCUGCAGAGAAACGCGCUCCUUGGCGGACACUGGGGGAGGAGAGGAAGAAGCGCGGCUAACUUAUUCCGAGAAUGCUGAGGAGUUGUCGUUUUUAGCUUUGUGUUUACUUUUUGGCUGGAGCGGAGAUGAGGGGCCACCCCGUGCCCCUGUGCUGCGGGGCCUUUUGCCCGGAGGCCGGGCCCUAAGGUUUUGUUGUGUUCUGUUGAAGGUGCCAU